AGCGUCGGUGAGCAGCCGGACUUUACAUCCCGCGUGGACGGUCAACUGAGGACCCAGAGUCCUCCGCAAUUUCCGUCUCCAGGGUUUCCGCCCAGGUGCCAGCGAUUUCCUUCUCUAAGUUUUUGAAAUGCCACUUAGUUUCCCUCUCGGUAUGGAAGUCUGUCCUCUCUUCUGUCCCAUGCUCCCACCGAGCCACAGACAACCGCAGCAAGCCAGCAUCCACUCUGCAGUCUGCCCUCCGGUGGGACAUUCCCUGACACACAGCAGCAUUUUAUUCACCGUUGUGGGCAUCGAGGCGGAAGGGUGGGUGGCCACCGGAAGCCAGGGAGACCUUCUUGGGAGACCAAGGUGUAUGGGCAAAAGAGGGCCAAGCAGAACUCGGCAGCUGAGGUAGCCGGAGACACGUGGCUGCAGCCCCACCGCACCCAAGCCCUUCCUGCAGCCAAGGUGCAUGGUCAAGUACCCUGGACCCUGUGACGUUCCUCCAUGGUGCAGCCUCCAGCAUCGGUCUCCGUGCUCAGACUGCAGAAGAUGCUUGGUGGCAGCUAUCACCAGGCCAGGGGUGACACCAUCCCUGAGCUGCGUGGGCCAUCCCCUGCCUGCAGGUCGCUGAGGGCUCUCUGGAGAUGGGGAGGGGUGGUCAGUGGGCCCAGCAUCGCUGGCACCCUUCCUGCCCCUUCCUUGUACCCAGAUGGCUGGUGCCGAGGGUGAUGGCUGCAUCCCACCAGAGACAGGAGAUGUGCCACCCACUGGCAUCCUUUCCGAGCCCCACCUCCCUUCAGGGGCCUCUCCAGCCUCCACUCUGGCUCACCUCAAAUUUGCUCAUGAAUUCUGAAAAGAUGCCGAAGAAGGCCUCUGAGGUAGUGGCCUUGGAGUCCUCUCCGAAGAAGGCCAGAGCCUUCCCUAGCUCCUCCAUGGCCUCUCGCUGCAGACCAUCCAACGCUCGCAGGGCUGGCUGCGCUGUUUCCAGAAAGGACUACAAGACCUUGGUCAAGGAAACAGCCCCCGGUGCUCUACCCUCCCUGGCUGGACUGUGACCCCAGAUAGCCCUCGCUACUCCACUCCUGUUCUGAAGGGAUCUUCCUUUCUGUAGACCGAGAACUAUGCUAUAACCCUCACCCACACCAACCCCUCCCCACCCCANNNNNNNNNNNNNNNNNNNNNNNNNNNUUCCCCACCCCCACCUCCCUACCCCCCAAUCUCACAUCUCUCUAGCCCCAUCCUCCUCGCCCCUGUCACAGUUCCAGGCCACCAGUCCUUAACUUCAUGCAUAAUUAAAGUACUUCCCUCGCUCUCUCCACAAGGAGAUGCUAGCC
ensembl:antisense Gm20635 predicted gene 20635